ACGACGCUGGCGGCGUGCCUAAUACAUGCAAGUCGAACGGUCUUUCUAUGGAAGCUUGCUUCCACUGAGAAGAUAGUGGCGAACGGGUGAGUAACACGUGGGUAACCUGCCCAUAAGAGGGGGAUAACAUCCGGAAACGGGUGCUAAUACCGCAUAGUUUUCUUGAUUGCAUGAUUGAGAAAGGAAAGACGGCCUUUGUGCUGUCGCUUAUGGAUGGACCCGCGGCGUAUUAGUUAGUUGGUGAGGUAACGGCUCACCAAGACGAUGAUACGUAGCCGACCUGAGAGGUGAUCGGCCACAUUGGGACUGAGACACGGCCCAAACUCCUACGGGAGGCAGCAGUAGGAAUCUUCCGCAAUGGACGAAAGUCUGACGGAGCAACGCCGCGUGAGUGGAGAAAAGGUUUUCGGAUCGUAAAACUCUGUUGUCAGAGAAGGACAAGUUGGAGAGUAACUGCUCCAGCCUUGACGGUAUCUGACCAGAAAGCCACGGCUAACUACGUGCCAGCAGCGGC
rnacentral:rRNA from 1 species